UACGAAGGGGGCUAGCGUUGCUCGGAAUCACUGGGCGUAAAGCGCACGUAGGCGGCUUGUUAAGUCGGAUGUGAAAGCCCUCGGCUCAACCGAGGAAGUGCAUACGAAACUGGCGAGCUUGAAUAUGGAAGAGGGUCGCGGAAUUCCCGGUGUAGAGGUGAAAUUCGUAGAUAUCGGGAGGAACACCAGUGGCGAAGGCGGCGACCUGGGCCAAUAUUGACGCUGAGGUGCGAAAGCGUGGGGAGCAAACAGG
rnacentral:rRNA from 1 species